rfam:Rozella allomycis CSF55 unplaced genomic scaffold scaffold_3004, whole genome shotgun sequence.
GGUUGGGUGGCCGAGCGGUCUAAGGCGUGAGUUUAAGGCACUCAUCUCUUCGGAGGCAAGGGUUCGAAUCCCUUCCCAAUCA